UACGGGGGGGCAAGCGUUGUUCGGAAUUACUGGGCGUAAAGGGCUCGUAGGUGGCCAACUAAGUCAGACGUGAAAUCCCUCAGCUUAACUGGGGAACUGCGUCUGAUACUGGAUGGCUUGAGUUUGGGAGAGGGAUGCGGAAUUCCAGGUGUAGCGGUGAAAUGCGUAGAUAUCUGGAGGAACACCGGUGGCGAAGGCGGCAUCCUGGACCAACACUGACACUGAUGAGCGAAAGCCAGGGGAGCAAACGGG
rnacentral:rRNA from 1 species